AUUGAACGCUGGCGGCAUGCUUUACACAUGCAAGUCGAACGGCAGCGCGGGCUUCGGCCUGGCGGCGAGUGGCGAACGGGUGAGUAAUACAUCGGAACGUGCCCAGUAGUGGGGGAUAGCUCGGCGAAAGCCGGAUUAAUACCGCAUACGACCUGAGGGUGAAAGCGGGGGAUCUUCGGACCUCGCGCUAUUGGAGCGGCCGAUGGCAGAUUAGCUAGUUGGUGGGGUAAAGGCCUACCAAGGCGACGAUCUGUAGCUGGUCUGAGAGGACGACCAGCCACACGGGGACUGAGACACGGCCCAGACUCCUACGGGAGGCAGCAGUGGGGAAUUUUGGACAAUGGGCGAAAGCCUGAUCCAGCAAUGCCGCGUGUGUGAUGAAGGCCUUCGGGUUGUAAAGCACUUUUGGCGGGAACGAAAAGGACUGUGCCAAUACCACGGUUCGAUGACGGUACCCGCAGAAUAAGCACCGGCUAACUACGU
rnacentral:rRNA from 1 species